UGGGGAAUAUUGCACAAUGGGCACAAGCCUGAUGCAGCCAUGCCGCGUGUGUGAAGAAGGCCUUCGGGUUGUAAAGCACUUUCAGCGAGGAGGAAGGUGGUGAGCUUAAUACGCUCAUCAAUUGACGUUACUCGCAGAAGAAGCACCGGCUAACUCCGUGCCAGCAGCCGCGGUAAUACGGAGGGUGCAAGCGUUAAUCGGAAUUACUGGGCGUAAAGCGCACGCAGGCGGUUUGUUAAGUCAGGUGUGAAAUCCCCGGGCUCAACCUGGGAACUGCAUUUGAAACUGGCAAGCUAGAGUCUCGUAGAGGGGGGUAGAAUUCCAGGUGUAGCGGUGAAAUGCGUAGAGAUCUGGAGGAAUACCGGUGGCGAAGGCGGCCCCCUGGACGAAGACUGACGCUCAGGUGCGAAAGCGUGGGGCAGCAAACAGGAUUAGAUACCCUGGUAGUCCAGCGCUGUAAACGAUGUCGAUUUUGGAGGUUGUGCCCUUGAGGCGUGGCUUCCGGAGCUAACGCGUUAAAUCGACCGCCUGGGGAGUACGGCCGCAAGGUUAAAACUUAAAUGAAUUGAC
rnacentral:rRNA from 1 species